GACGAGGGAUCCUAGCGUUGCUCGGAAUCAUUGGGCGUAAAGCGGGUGUAGGUGGCUUGGUAAGUCAGGUGUGAAAGCCCAGGGCUCAACCCUGGAAGUGCAUUUGAAACUGCUAAGCUUGAGUGCUAGAGAGGUUAUUAGAAUACCUGGUGUAGUGGUGAAAUACGUAGAUAUCAGGUGGAACACCGGAGGCGAAGGCGGAUAACUGGCUAGACACUGACACUGAGACCCGAAAGUGCGGGGAUCAAACAGG
rnacentral:rRNA from 1 species